rnacentral:rRNA from 1 species
CAAUAGCGUAUACUAAUGUUGUUGCAGUUAAGGAGCUCGUAGUUGAACUUCUGGUAGGAGUGUCCCGGCCUUUUUGUUUUUACAAAUUGUAUGCUGUGUGACAUCUCUGGCCAUCCUUCUUCUUUGUUUAAAGAAGAUCUUUCACUGUAAAAAAAUUAGGGUGUUCAAAGCAAAAGUUUCUUUGGAAUAUAUUAGUAUGGGAUGAUAAGAUAGGCUCUAGAUGCUAUUUUGUUGGUUUGCACAUUUAGAGAAUGAUUAACAGGGACAGUUGGGGGUAUUCGUAUUUACAUGUCAGAGGUGAAAUUCUUGGAUUUUGGAAAGACGAACUACUGCGAAAGCAUUUACCAAGGAUGUUUUCAUUAA